UGAAGCCCUUCGCCAGGGACAAGUAUCGUGUGAGUUCGUGGCGUGGGUUGAGAGGGUGAGAGAGAGAGAGGGAGCACUUUCUGCAUCGCCGAGCGCUCGCUUCGAUUGCCUUCUUUCCUCCACGAUUUCUUCUCAUCUUCUUUGAGUCGAGUGGAAUCGGGAGAUUUGGAAAGAUGUCGAGAUCGAGGGUCAGACGGGGGGAAUUGCCCCCUCCGCAAGAGACUAUAGAGAAGUUGGAGAAGAUGGUGGAGGAUGGAAAUUAUUAUCCGGCCCAACAGAUAUACAAGUCAUCUAGCGCAAGAUACAUAGCUGUUCAGAAAUAUUCUGAAGCCUUGGAUAUCCUUCAGGCAGGCGCUUUGAUCCAAUUGAAACAUGGGCAGAAAUCAGUGAAGUGGCAGUUGGAUCCCUUAAUUUACUGUGUUCCCUUAAUUUCUAGAACACUUAUAUCAAGACUCGUUAUGGCCUUGGAGCUAAAUCUAAUUCCUGUUUCCAACUGCAAGGUUACUUGUGGGGCUGAACUGGCUGUGUUGUUUGUGGAGACACUUGCCAAGGGAAAGUUACCCUAUAGCGAAGAAACUCUGGAUCAUCUCAGGAAGAUUUAUCAAGGUUUCCCAAAGAUACCUCUUCCACAGAACUCGGGAGAUGAUGACGAUGAUGACAUGCAAAAGCUCUCAGAAGCUUUGAUGGCGGCAAAACUACGUGUUGAGAGUUGCUCAUCAUUUUUGAAAGCUGCAAUUAGGUGGUCGGCUGAGUUUGGGGCUCCCAAAAAUGGAUCUCCUCAAUUGCAUGAUAUGUUGGCGGAAUAUCUAUAUUCUGAAUCUCCUGAGCCAGACAUGACAAAAGUUUCUAGCCACUUUGUUCAUGGAAGUGAUCCAAAGAAGUUUGCUUCCACCCUAGUGAACUUCAUGGGCACGUGCUAUCCUGGGGAAGAUGAUGCAGCAAUUGCACGUGCAGUCCUCCUGUACCUAUCACAAGGGAACCUGAGAGAUGCCAAUUACCUCAUGGAUGAGCUUAAAAAGCAACUGGAAUCCAAGCAGCUUGAUUUCCCCUGCUCAGAUUUGACCCAAUUUAUCGAGUAUCUUCUACGGACGAGUUUGGCCAUGAUGGGUCCAAAACAUGGAAACAGUCUCUCGGCAUGCUGGGUUAAGGCUGCAUACAUUUGACCCUCCUCAGACCCCGCAGUGGCAGGAGCCUUGUGCACUUGGAUGCCCUUUUAUUUAUCUAUGUAUGUGUGAUGCUUUGGUAGAGAACAAACAAUACUGAUAUUUGUAUUUGAUUUCGUGUUAAGCAGGCUGGAAAGGGAUGCUUUUCCACUUCUUAAGAUAUUAAGGCAGAAGUACAAGUCAAGUAUUGACCGGGAACCUUUAUUUGAUGAGUUAUUAGAUGAAAUUGCAGAGAAGUUUUAUGGAGUGCGGCGCAGAAGUGGCCUACAAGGCAUAUUUAGCGAUCUUUUCAAGAUGAUGUGACGAGCAGUGCAAAGAAUCGUAUUCUUAUCCACCCUCAAGACUCGAGCUUGGACACAAAGCUUGAAGUUUUCUGGAGCGAAGUCAGUCUAGAAAUGACGACACAGUAAUUGCGCAAGCUAUCAGUGAAGUCAGUCUUCUCCUAACAAGCAUCAUAGCGGGGAUAUCCUCUGGACAGCAGCUCAGAGGCAGAUUUGACUGUUAUUAUCUUCUGUUGAUCGUGAACUAGGUCUAAAUAUAACUUCAGCAUUUGUAAUAAAAUUAUCCAUUCAUGAAAUAAUCAGGCAUGUUGCAAUCAAUUAUGCUCCCCAAAUUUGGUACGCUGAAAUUUGUUUGGUUUGCAUUUGUAGAGGGAUAUUGGUUCGUGAAACUAUUGUUGAGUUGCUUGUUGAGAAUAUAUGAUAAACAGAUCUGACCUGAA